GCGGCGGAUGGGUGAGUAACACGUGGGGAACCUGCCCCAUAGUCUGGGAUACCACUUGGAAACAGGUGCUAAUACCGGAUAAGAAAGCAGAUCGCAUGAUCAGCUUAUAAAAGGCGGCGUAAGCUGUCGCUAUGGGAUGGCCCCGCGGUGCAUUAGCUAGUUGGUAGGGUAACGGCCUACCAAGGCAAUGAUGCAUAGCCGAGUUGAGAGACUGAUCGGCCACAUUGGGACUGAGACACGGCCCAAACUCCUACGGGAGGCAGCAGUAGGGAAUCUUCCACAAUGGACGAAAGUCUGAUGGAGCAACGCCGCGUGAGUGAAGAAGGUUUUCGGAUCGUAAAGCUCUGUUGUUGGUGAAGAAGGAUAGAGGUAGUAACUGGCCUUUAUUUGACGGUAAUCAACCAGAAAGUCACGGCUAACUACGUGCCAGCAGCCGCGGUAAUACAA
rnacentral:rRNA from 1 species